UACGGGGGGAGCAAGCGUUGUUCGGAUUUACUGGGCGUAAAGGGCGCGUAGGCGGCCUCUGCAAGUCGACUGUGAAAUCUCCGGGCUUAACCCGGAAAGGUCAGCCGAUACUGCAGGGCUAGAGUGCAGAAGGGGCAACUGGAAUUCUCGGUGUAGCGGUGAAAUGCGUAGAUAUCGAGAGGAACACCUGCGGCGAAGGCGGCCUGCUGGGCUGUUGCUGACGCUGAGGCGCGAAAGCGUGGGGAGCGAACAGG
rnacentral:rRNA from 1 species